AACGCUAGCUACAGGCUUAACACAUGCAAGUCGAGGGGCAGCAUGGUCUUAGCUUGCUAAGGCCGAUGGCGACCGGCGCACGGGUGAGUAACACGUAUCCAACCUGCCGUCUACUCUUGGACAGCCUUCUGAAAGGAAGAUUAAUACAAGAUGGCAUCAUGAGUUCACAUGUUCACAUGAUUAAAGGUAUUCCGGUAGACGAUGGGGAUGCGUUCCAUUAGAUAGUAGGCGGGGUAACGGCCCACUUAGUCUUCGAUGGAUAGGGGUUCUGAGAGGAAGGUCCCCCACAUUGGAACUGAGACACGGUCCAAACUCCUACGGGAGGCAGCAGUGAGGAAUAUUGGUCAAUGGGCGCAGGCCUGAACCAGCCAAGUAGCGUGAAGGAUGACUGCCCUAUGGGUUGUAAACUUCUUUUAUAAAGGAAUAAAGUCGGGUAUGUAUACCCGUUUGCAUGUACUUUAUGAAUAAGGAUCGGCUAACUCCGUGCCAGCAGCCGCGGUAAUACGGAGGAUCCGAGCGUUAUCCGGAUUUAUUGGGUUUAAAGGGAGCGUAGAUGGAUGUUUAAGUCAGUUGUGAAAGUUUGCGGCUCAACCGUAAAAUUGCAGUUGAUACUGGAUAUCUUGAGUGCAGUUGAGGCAGGCGGAAUUCGUGGUGUAGCGGUGAAAUGCCUAGAUAUCACGAAGAACUCCGAUUG
rnacentral:rRNA from 1 species